AUCAUUUAGUGAAAAUAGAAUUUGGACUGUUUAGGAAACAAAGCAGUGGCUUCUUUGCUUGACUGUGUGAACCUAAUGAAAACUAAGAGAAUGUAAUAAGCAAUGUUGAUUUCUCUACAUAUAAGUAGCAAUUUUAUGAUUUGAGGAGACCUACAGAUCCUAUUAAAUCCACUCAUACAGAGGAGAAGCUGGCACCCCAGGCUUCUUACUAAUCCUAAUUGCAAAAACCUGCAUCCUCCCUGAUAUCCAAGUCCAUGAGCUGCCCUGCUCAAUGUUUCAUCUAGCAGACGUUUUAUGUACUCAUUCAUCACUGGAGAUGAGAACACUGUAAAAGCAGUAAAGUCAACAACAGCCAGUGCACUUAUACUAAGUGCUAUGUUUCAGAACUAAUCGAAGGAUUUGACAUAUGUCAGCUUAAUUCUCCUGAUAGUUUAAUGAGCUUGAGGACAAUUAGCUACUUCUUGGCAGUUACUAAGACCUGGCUUACCUCAGCAUCCUUAUUUCUCUUUUAAUCAUCUAAUAUCUGCGCAACAAAUUCCCUCAUCUGUUCUAUUCAAGCCAAGCCUACUGCGGUGAUCUUCAUGGAGACAAUUCAGUGGUUUCCUAGCAACCAAGUUUCCUGUGGUUUCCUUGGUUAUAAGCAACGACAUAACUCUUGUGGGCAACUUCAAAAGCACAGAAGAAAACCCUCCUUCUAAAGAAUGAGGUUCCAAAAAAUUCAGGUUACUGCUUGCUGAGUGUCUCUGUUUAUAAUGAAGAACUGUAUCUCCAUAGGCAUUAAUAACUGUAAUAAAUAACUUGUGGAGAUUGCAAAGUAAAAUCACAUUAGGUUAUGUAUUCUUUUUUGUUGCUUUUGUAAUAUGCCUGAUCCUAACUUUUUCCUUGAAAUUAGGAUAUUUUUCCUAUCUCUUCUGAUUGACUAUUGUCCAUAGGUAGCCUAGCAGAUCAAAUUUCGUCACCUUUUUAUAAUUGUAUGAGGGGUCAUUUAGGAAGACAGCAAAGUGAUUGCUCAACUGUAGAAUCAAAUAAUACCAACUUGUUUUUAAUGAUUGAGUGUGUAUUAGAAGCUUAGAUAGAUGGCUGGUGGGAAUCCAUUAAAUAACUGUAAACUUACACUGACCAGUAAUUUCCAGUGCAGUGUGACUAACGUUAACUACUUCUACCUACUGAAUUGUUUUUUUUUUCCUUUUAUAAUUACUUCUGAAGAACUAUACUGAGUAGCUCUAUUCUCUGGGGAUAUAUCUAAAAUACAUGAUAUGUCAACAGAAGAAAAAAAUAGCAGCAUACAUAUUUAGAAGUAGAAUUUGUGCCACUUAGACUAUUCAUCUUUGCAACUUCAGUGCCUAUCCUAGAAUAUAGCUUGUGGCAAACAUGAAAGUCUGAAUUAAUGAAUGACCAUGGUCAAUAGCUCAUUUAGUUUUUCUGGUAGAAAUCAAGAUUUCGUGUGUAGAUCAACAGGCUAAAAUAACAAUGGAGAAGGAGAUAAAUAUAAUGAAUUCUGUGCACAAGAAUUUUAAACUGUGAGUCAAAAUGUAUUACUUUCAUGCUAUUCAUUUAUACCUUCCAAUAUUUAUUAUGGGCCUAUGAGAU